rnacentral:rRNA from 1 species
AUACAGAGGGUGCGAGCGUUAAUCGGAAUUACUGGGCGUAAAGCGCGCGUAGGCGGUCUAUUAAGUCAGAUGUGAAAUCCCAGGGCUCAACCUUGGAACUGCAUCUGAUACUGGUAGACUAGAGUUUUGGAGAGGGAAGUAGAAUUUCAGGUGUAGCGGUGAAAUGCAUAGAGAUCUGAAGGAAUACCAGUGGCGAAGGCGACUUCCUGGCCAAAAACUGACGCUCAGGUGCGAAAGCGUGGGUAGCAAACGGGAUUAGAAACCCUAGUAGUCC